rnacentral:rRNA from 1 species
AGGGGGAUGAGUAGCGCGGCGAACGGGUUGAGUAACACGCUGCAGAAUCUACCCAUUUAGCUGAGGAAUAACCGUUGAGAAAUCGAGAACAAUACCGCAUAAGUCCCUUCGGGGAGAAAGGUGGCUUUUAUGCUGCCGCUAAAGGAUGAGCUUGCGGGCUAUUAGUUUGUUGGUGGGGUAACGGCCUACCAAGACUAUGAUGGCUAACCGGCCUGAGAGGGUGAACGGUCACAUUGGAACUGAGACACGGUCCAGACUUCUACGGAAGGCAGCAGCGAGGAAUAUUGCGCAAUGGACGAAAGUCCGACGCAGCGACGCCGCGUGAGGGAUGAAGGCUCUAGGGUCGUAAACUUCUGUUAAGCGGGAAGAAAGACCUGUUAGUAAUAUGAACAGGAGAUGACGUUACCGCUAAAGAAAGCACCGGCUAACUUCGUGCCAGCAGCCGCGGUAAUACGAGGGGUGCAAGCGUUAUUCGGAAUUACUGGGCGUAAAGGGUGCGUAGACGGUUUAUUAAGUCAAUUGUUAAAGACUCCGGCCCAACCGGGGAACAGCAGUUGAAACUGGCAAACUUGAGGAUGAGAGAGAGGAGUGGAAUUCUCGGAGUAGCGGUAAAAUGCGUAGAUCUCGAGAGGAACACCGAUGGCGAAGGCAGCUUCUUGGCUCAUUCCUGACGUUGAGGCACGAAAGCGUGGGGAGCAAACGGGAUUAGAUACCCUGGUAG